UGUGAGUGGAAAAUCGAGCCAAGGAGAGGACCGCAUGCAGCAUUUCUGCAACAAAAAACAUCUCAGUUGUAGAGGCCUGUUUCCAGCAAGAUGGAUGGAUGCACUGGCCUAUGUACAUCAACAGUAACCAAGGUACCAUGCUCAGAACUGGCAUUACAUUGGGGAAGCAAUUCUCUGAAAGUCAGGGAGGUCAAGGCAGUCACUACCAGCACAGCUCAGCACACUCUACUCUCUUCCACAAGAUACUCUUGGAGAAGAGGGCUGCAGAAACUGAGCCUACAGGUCGUACAGCUUUUCCUAAGAGGUUGCAAAUGGCCCGUGAGCCAGAAGCUAAACCAUCCUGAACUAUGUUUUUGUAAUGCAGAAAGUGUUCCUUAUACUGACUGAGGAAGACCUUGCCUCAUAGGUCAUAGGAGUUUUGUUUCCCUAAUAGUUAGGCCUGUUUCCCUAUUUGACUAAAAUUAAUGAAGUUGUUGCCUGCCACAUUAAAAUCCAUGCAUGUAUCUGUAAUUUAUUUGCGUGUCUCUGUCAAAUGAAUAUUGUUAUAUACAGCACUGCACUUUAUUCAACUAAACUGAGGGAAGCCCAGGUGUGUUUUUACGUGGCAGGCUACCUUAUCUGCAAGUACAAACUUCAGAAUAUUGAAAUGCUAUGAAGAUUGUACUAUCCACAGGGAAGGGGAAGUGCUAAUGCUCACUUAUCUCUGUGUAUUUUAGCCAGGUUUGUUAAAAAUUUAAGUCCUUUUAAAUUGUUCUAUUUUUGCAGUGAUUCAUGUAGCAUACCUUUUACUCUAAGUCAGAACAGCAGGCUCUCAGGCUUAACCUGUUUUAAAACAAUUCUUGCCUUCACAUAAACACCAAGAAACACACAAGAAGGUGGUGUAUUUACUAUGACUAGUAAUAAAGAUUUAGAAAUAAAGUUAUAAGGCUCUA